rnacentral:rRNA from 1 species
GACGAACCGUGCGAACGUUGUUCGGAUUCACUGGGCUUAAAGGGCGCGUAGGCGGACCUGCCAGUCAGGGGUGAAAGCCCCCGGCCCAACCGGGGAAGUGCCUUUGAUACUGCGGGUCUCGAGCGGGAUAGGGGCAGCUGGAACUUCCGGUGGAGCGGUGAAAUGCGUAGAUAUCGGAAGGAACGCCGGUGGCGAAAGCGACUCUCUGGCCUGUAGCUGACGCUGAGGCGCGAAAGCUAGGGGAGCAAACGGG